rnacentral:rRNA from 1 species
ACGGGGGGGGCAAGCGUUGUUCGGAAUUACUGGGCGUAAAGCGUGCGCAGGCGGUGAUGUAAGACAGAUGUGAAAUCCCCGGGCUCAACCUGGGAACUGCAUUUGUGACUGCAUCGCUGGAGUGCGGCAGAGGGGGAUGGAAUUCCGCGUGUAGCAGUGAAAUGCGUAGAUAUGCGGAGGAACACCGAUGGCGAAGGCAAUCCCCUGGGCCUGCACUGACGCUCA